rnacentral:rRNA from 1 species
CAGCCGCCACGGUAAUACGGAGGGUGCAAGCGUUAAUCGGAAUUACUGGGCGUAAAGCGCACGCAGGCGGUCUGUCAAGUCAGAUGUGAAAUCCCCGGGCUUAACCUGGGAACUGCAUUUGAAACUGGCAGGCUAGAGUCUUGUAGAGGGGGGUGGAAUUCCAGGUGUAGCGGUGAAAUGCGUAGAGAUCUGGAGGAAUACCGGUGGCGAAGGCGGCCCCCUGGACAAAGACUGACGCUCAGGUGCGAAAGCGUGGGGAGCAAACAGGAUUAGAUACCCCUGUAGUCCCUGUCUCUUAUAC